UCCGUAGGGGUGACCUGCGGAGGGAUCAUUACCGAGUGUAAAAACUCCCAAACCAUUGUGAACCUACCACUGUUGCUUCGGCGGCCUCGCCCCGGGCGCGUUCGCGCGGCCCGGACCCAGGCGUCCGCCGGAGGCUCCAAACUCUUGUCUUUUAGUGUAUUUCUGAGUGGCAUAAGCAAAUAAAUCAAAACUUUCAGCAACGGAUCUCUUGGUUCUGGCAUCGAUGAAGAACGCAGCAAAAUGCGAUAAGUAAUGUGAAUUGCAGAAUUCAGUGAAUCAUCGAAUCUUUGAACGCACAUUGCGCCCGCCAGUAUUCUGGCGGGCAUGCCUGUCUGAGCGUCAUUUCAACCCUCAGGACCCGUUCGCGGGACCUGGCGUUGGGGAUCAGCCUGCCCCUGGCGGCGGCUGGCCCUGAAAUCCAGUGGCGGUUCCCUCGCGAACUCCUCCGUGCAGUAAUUAAACCUCUCGCGGCAGGAUAGCGGUUGAACCACGCCGUUAAACCCCCCACUUCUCAAGGUUGACCUCAGAUCAGGUAGGAAUACCCGCUGAACUUAAGCAUAUCAAUAAGCGGAGGA
rnacentral:rRNA from 1 species